GACGAACGCUGGCGGCACGCUUAACACAUGCAAGUCGAACGGAGAACAUUGAGCUUGCUUAAUGUUCUUAGUGGCGGACGGGUGAGUAACACGUGAGUAACCUGCCUCUGAGAGUGGGAUAGCUUCUGGAAACGGAUGGUAAUACCGCAUAACAUCAUGGAUUCGCAUGUUUCUAUGAUCAAAGAUUUAUCGCUCAGAGAUGGACUCGCGUCUGAUUAGAUAGUUGGUGAGGUAACGGCCCACCAAGUCGACGAUCAGUAGCCGGACUGAGAGGUUGACCGGCCACAUUGGGACUGAGACACGGCCCAGACUCCUACGGGAGGCAGCAGUGGGGAAUAUUGCACAAUGGGGGAAACCCUGAUGCAGCGAUGCCGCGUGGAGGAAGAAGGUUUUCGGAUUGUAAACUCCUGUCGAAGAGGACGAUAAUGACGGUACUCUUCAAGAAAGCUCCGGCUAACUACGUGCCAGCAGCCGCGGUAAUACGUAGGGAGCGAGCGUUGUCCGGAAUUACUGGGUGCAAAGGGAGCGUAGGCGGGAUGGCAAGUCAGAUGUGAAAACUAUGGGCUCAACCCAUAGACUGCAUUUGAAACUGUUGUUCUUGAGUGAGGUAGAGGUAAGCGGAAUUCCUGGUGUAGCGGUGAAAUGCGUAGAGAUCAGGAGGAACAUCGGUGGCGAAGGCGGCUUACUGGGCCUUUACUGACGCUGAGGCUCGAAAGCGUGGGGAGCAAACGGGAUUAGAUACCCUGGUAGUCCACGCCGUAAACGAUGAUUAUUUGUUGUGGGGGGGAGUGACCCCUUCCCGCGCCGCAGUUAACACAAAAAGUAAUCCACCUGGGGAGUACGGCCGCAAGGUUGAAAAUCAAAAGAAUUGACGGGGGCCCGCCCAAGCAGUGGAGUAUGUGGUUUAAUUUGAAGCAACGCGAAGAACCUCACCAGGUCUUGACAUCGAGUGACGUACUUAGAGAUAAGUAUUUCCUUCGUGACACAAAGACAAAAGGUGCAUGGUUGUCGUCAGAAAAAAAAAAAAGAUGUUGGGUUAAGUCCCGCAACGAGCGCAACCCCUACCAUUAGUUGCUACGCAAGAGCACUCUAAUGGGACUGCCGUUG
rnacentral:rRNA from 1 species